ACUGCUCCUGGCCAAGAAAUAGUCCGGCACAUAACCUCCGUAAAACUGCAAACUGACGUUUUCAAGUUUUGGAUUUUGCACAGUUCAACAAACUAGACUUGAUGUGUUAAUUAGAGAGCUUCAGAGGUGCCGGUAGGUGGGAUUAGUUACCUCUCGACAGAGCCAAGCUUUUAUGCUAAGCUAAGCUAACCAGUUCCUGGCUGUAGCCUUGUAUUCAAUUGCCAGACAGGGGGAUGGGAAUCAAGAAUCUGUUCCAAUGCAUUGCAAAAACAGUGAUGUUAAAAUCAUGCGUUCACACUGCUGGAACCAACAUAAAGGAGGCUUGACGGAGAGAAAGAAUGCGUCGAAUGCGUGGUUUCAUUUCAUGGAGAAAGAUGACAACAGUGCCUGUUGUAAUGUCUGUGAGAUGAAUUCCAUGGAAACACCAGCUAGACACUGAAACAUCUCUCUACGCAACAUGGGCUUCAAUUCCAGCAGUGCCAUGUAUUUGACACAAGUGCCACUGUGGUCCCAACCAAGCAACCGAGGAUGACAGACAGCCUGUUACUCCAGCUACAAGCUGUUAAACAGUGGAGCUUUUGCACACCUGAGUCGCGCACAUGCUGCAAAUAGACUCGGAGAUAAUAAAACAGUUGCACUGAUGCUGAAAACCCA